UUUUAUUGUUGAGUACUAUUCCAUUAUAUGGAUAUACCACAACUUAUUUAGCUAUUCACCAGUUGAUGAGAAUUUGGGUUGGUUCCAGUUUUUGCUAUUGUGGAUAGUG